UUGAGCUUCAUUUUGGGAAAACUGCAAACCGAGUUCAUCAUGUAUAUCUAGGGGUCUGUAAGGACUAAUAUUUCACACUGCUAAAGCGUCUCAAGUUGGAGUUUCAUCCGUGAAUAAAAGGCUUUUUCUGCCGGUAUGAUUUUGUUUUUUUGCUGAUCUUUUUUAGGUACUUUUCAGUCUUUUAGUCCAGUUUCGUCUCCUUUGCUUCACUCUCAGCCUUGUGUCCUCGUGUCUCUGGAUCACUGGCAGUGGAGUGGACAAUCAGACAGCAGGGCUUCCCUCCUGUUGGGUCUGUGAUGGAUGAGGGCUAUGUGUGAUCACUCCACGAUGACACACACCUAAUCCUCUCCUCUCCUCCACUCUCAAUCACCGCUCCCCUUCUGCAUUCCUCUCCUCUCUCUGUUUUCUCUCCUCCAUUCCCAUCUCUUUUUUGUUAUUUCUCUAAUCUUCUCUUAUCUUCUCCUCCCUUCCUCUCACCUCAGUCCCUUUUCUCGUUUUCCUCAUAUCAAAGUUUUCUUGGUCACAUUUUUCCUGUUUCCCCUUACACACCUUUUUUUAUGCAUCCGCUCCUCUCCUCCUCCUCCUCCUCCUCCUCCUCCUCCUCCUCUGUCCUGUGGUGUCCAGAGGAGUGACAGAGGGUUAGUCAGGGGGUCAAUGAUUUGUGCUGUGUUGUCAGCAGUGCUGCAGUGACAGGUCCUGACGACGCUGUUCAUGGGAAAUGCAGCAUGUUUAUGCUAAUGUCUGCUUGCAUCCUAACAACAUGUCUGGGAAAUGGAGCUGUCAAGACACCCUGUGGGACACAGGCACACUCACUCACUCACACACACACACAAACACAAUUACACAAUUACACACAUUAUUCAGGGCAUAUGAAAAACUUUGUGUCUCCAUUCUGAAGAAAUCCUGAGUGUACUGCCAUUUCUUAUCCAUUCACAGGCUUUCCUGCCCCAUCAGAUACAGAUGAUUGUUUUCGCAACCAUGUGCAUUGAAAAUUCAGCUGUUACACCAAGGCCACACUGACAAUCCCUCCCUGAAAGUACCCUCUCAUGUGGAGCUGUUCCUUUUUUUACAUUAUCUUUUCUUCUCUUCUCUUCUCUUCUCAUCUUGUACUCCCCUGCCUCCUCCUCCUUCUCUUUCCCCUGGCCUCUUCCUUUCAGUUCCCUGCCUCCACCUUGCACUGUCCCUUAUACUUUCCCUGUAUUGGAUUUGAACCCAUGAUCACUACAUUCGAUGCAGCAGCUCAAACCCUCACACCACAGGCCUGCCUGCUUGUGCCAGACUGUUUAGGUAUUUCUUGUUUAAUCAUAUUUGGACAGCUCCUAAAAGACUAAGCUCAGUCUACAUCCAUCCAUCCAUUUUCUACAGCUUAUUCCCGUUAGGGGUUGCAAGGGGACUGCGGCCUGUCCCAGUAUCUUCGGGCGAAGGCAGAGGACAUCCUGGACAAGUCACCAGUUUAUCGCAGGGCUGACAAAUAGAGGCGAACAACCAUCCACGCUCACACUCACACAUAUGGGCAAUUUGAAAGUGGCCAAUUAACCUAACCUCACUUAGGCAUGUUUUUGGGAUGUGGGAGGAAACCAGAGUACCUGGAGUAAACCCACGCAGACACAAGGAGAACAUGCAAACUCCACACAGAAACGCCCUGACCCGGAUUCAAACCCAAGACCUUCUUGCUGUGAGGCGACAGUGCUAACCACUACAUCACUGUGCCACUUUGCUCCGUCUACAGUGUAAGGAAAACAUUUCAUUUUGGCUCCAUUUGAAAGACCCUGAUCCUGACAGAUUUGAACCCAGGACCAUGUCAGUUAAAGGCAGAAGACUGUCUGGGUCUUUUGUUUUAAACAUUUCAUUAUCACAUCUUAAAACCUUGGUUCAGUCCACAGUGUCAGUUCUCAGUGUUUUAUUCUUUAGAUCAGUUUUCAGUGUUUCCUGUUUUAUUUUGUAUAGUAGUCCAUCCUUGUGUGUAUAGUCUUGUUUUACUUCCUCAGUUUUCCCUCCUCUGUAAUUGUCUUCACCUGUGUCUCAGUGUCUCACCUGCCUCUCGUUACUCACUUCCUUGGGUGUAUAUAUAGUCCCUGUCUUCCCCUGUUUCUUUGUUGGCUGAUUGUGCGUGUUUGUUGGUCAGUGUGUUUCAGUCAUAGUUGAUGUGUGAAUUAGGGGUGUCCUUAUACAACUAUUUUACUUCCGAUACAAUACCGAUUUUGUAGCCUUUAAUAUUGAACGAUACCGUUAUUGAUGCGAUAUUGGCAUAAAAUUGUGUAUGACAAGUUUUGCAUUCAGCUGCAACGUCUUUUUUGGACUUAAACAGAAAAUACUUCCACACGUCUGACAUCACUUUUACUCCUUGGUACUUUGUUAGUACCUUAGUACACACUGUUGUUGUGAUAACCUGGGCUCUGCAUGCUGGAUUUGGGUGCUGCUAGAUAGAAGGGCUGGAGCAGAGGCUGGAAUGGACUGCCUGUAUUGGCGUGCUGAUAUCAGAGAUUUUAGACGCAGGCCAAUAUGAUCUGAUAUUCGUUUUUUUGCAAAAACCGGACCAAUAUCCAAUAUCAAUUUAACAUCUGGACACCCUGAGUGGGAAUCGCAAGUUUCGUUGUGUUUUUUUCCCACUGCUUUGUUUUUUUUGUUUUGGAUUUUGCCUUUGGUAUGUUUUAGUUGGACAUUUUUGAAGUAGGUUUUUGUUGCUUUUCAUUUAUUUGUUUUUAAUAGAUCCUUUUUUUGUCUGGAUUUUGGGUCCUUUUCCUUUGUUUACCCUGCCUAAUAAAAAAAUACAAAACCAGCAUCAGAAACUUUAUUUUAAUGGACUCCACUGAUGUUUCCUGACUAUACACAGUUUUAAGCUUGGUGUGAUCAUGCAUCAGAAAUCCAAAAUCAGCUAUUUAGGCCUCACUCACUGUGCAAAUGUAGUUUUUCAAUAUCAAUUAAUCCAAGGGUUGACAUCCAGGGUUAUCUGAAACUAGUUGUGUGUGAAAAAACCUGGUAACACAUCUCCAAAAUUGCAAAUUUAUGUCUUUUGUCAGGGCAGAGAAAAUGGUAGACUACAAUUUAGAGCAACUUUCCAUCCAGAAAGUUUUGGAUUAAAACCCCGCUGCAGCUGACACUGGCUCGUUGCUUUACAAAUGUCAUCUGCCUGAUAUGAAGACACUGGCUGUAUAUUUGGAACCAGCUAAUGGGAGACUUCUGUGCUGUCAUGCAGAGUGUAUGCAAUAGAGCAGAACCAUUUGUGUGCAAAAUAGUCUGUGACAACAACAAAACUUCCAAACCUUAUUAGAGAAACAUCAUAAUCAGUCGCUCUAUCCAAACAAAUCCUCCUUUCACUGUGCCAUCUGCACACUCUCACACAGACUCACAUGGAGUUAUAAAUCAUUCUGGAGAAAAACUACCUGCAACAGCACAUUUGUCAGAAGUGUGAGGAAGCUUCAGUUUAUAAUUAUCUUUUGCUUCUGUGCUAUGUGGCGCUUGCUUCUGCUCAUUAGUGAGGAAUGAAAAUAAUACUUAUUUAUUGGUUUAUUUAUAGAAAUGGCAGAUCUGAGGUAAAUGUAAACAGCCAAAACUUAAGAAUACCAAAAGACACAACCAUUAGAGGAGAUACCUUGACAUGUACAUUCAAACCCUAACUUCUAAUUACCUACAAAACCCAAACUGCUAAUUGCAA
rnacentral:lncRNA from 1 species